UAUUGGAAGGAUUAAGAUUUUUUUUAAUAGAAGGAAUUUACAAAUCUAGAUAACUUUCUGGCACAAAAUGAUUUAAAAAAAAGUUUUCCACCGGAGUGCUCCUUUAAGCUACCGGUACAGCUGUCAGAUGAGCGUUCAUUUCGGUCGACAGCUAUUCCUAGUAAACUCUCAUAUACGUGCACAAUCGUUUCAACCAGAUGUCCGUGUGUUCUUAAUAGGAAGAGAAGAAUAAGCCGCUGCUAGACUACUGUGGUUGUGGGUUAUCUACCUUGGGACAAAAGGAUCAGGUGGCUUUCAUGCUGCCUGAACCACAGGUCCUCAGGGUGGUCCCUAUGGCAAUCAGGGUGGACCCUGGUAGGCAGCAUGAAAGUUUCAGGUUCCUAUGAACAUCACACCAUACACAUUAGACCAGUGUUUCCCAACCUGUGUGCCUCCAGCUGUUGCAAAACAAAAGCUCCCAGAAAACCCGGACAGCUAAAGGCUGAAAUAUUAUUCAAGUAAUCCGCUAAAAUUAGCAGCAAGGAACAGCAGAAACUCAAGUAUCAGACGAAGGCAGAAUAAUCACUUUUAUAGAUAAAGAAGAAAUUCAAGGGUCUAUUCACAUGUUGCAGUUUCAUUAUAGGUCACGGUAAAAAAAAAUAAAGAUAAAUAAAAAUAUGAGGCUUUUCACAACUGAUUUAAAGGGGUAAUGACCCCCUUGGAGCGAGUCCACAUUUAGCAGCUUUGUUGUGGGUUUUACCACAAUUUUCGCCCUAAGUACAGCUAUGUAUCAAAUUGACAAAAUGACCCAUGGUGGCUUCUGGGCAGAUUUUAGACCCCAUGGACAUCAGAUAAAGGAGUUAUCCAGGCUUGACCUAUCCUCGGGUUUAGAUCAGUGGGGGUCCGACUCUAACCCCCCGCCAUUGGCUAUUUAGCACCCAAUCACACUAAGUAUUUUACAAGCAGAAUUGUGCUCCAGAAAUCCACUCGGAAAUUACAUUGUAGCAGCCUUCCAUUGUUUUCAAUAGGAUUCUGCUGCACCAUUCCAGAUCCCAGGCUCUGCCGAAAGAAUGUUCAUUAUUUGGCGGGACCCGCUUGGAAAUGUAUUGCUGUCUAUAGAGAUGGCGUGUUUUUUUGAGAGCGGUCCUAGCGCAGGAAUAUCUUGUCAGUGCCCUAUUUGUGGAAUGUCCGUCCAUGUUUUCCCGGGCAGACGUUCCGCAAUAUUUCCGCCAUGUGAACAUGCCUAAUUAAGAAUUAAAGGGAUUAUCCAGGGAUAGAAAAGCAGAACUCAAAAUUUUUGGGUAGUGUGAAUAGACCCUUAUUGUUUACAUCAGGUUUGUAUUCGCACACAUCAUACUUUCUCUACUGUAGCAAUGCCUCAUUGCGCUGUGAUCUCUUUAAAUAGGUGCUGGGUGUCGGACCUUCCCCAGAUCUCAACUUUCUAAAAAUUCUAUAAAAAAAAAAAAAAAUCCCUUUAAAAACACGAC